rnacentral:lncRNA from 1 species
UGGAAUGUUAAAAUUGAAGGAAUGAGUAUUACUUAGUAGGAUACGUGCGUCCAAACAAUAUAAUAACUUUUAAAACAUGAAUCUAUAACAUUCCAUACCAUCAUUUCAUCAAAAGCAAUCGGUGAUCAAUCGGAAGCUCUAGUACAUUUGAGAAGACCCGAAGGCAAUCUCACAUUUCAUUUCAUAGGGACCCGCAGGUCAAUUAGCAUUUCAUGAAAUAAAUCACAUAAAAAAAAUUAUAAUAUUGCAAGGAUGAAUCACUUGCACAUGGUAUCCUACCUUAUCAAAUAAAUGCUGAAAGAAAACUAAGAGUCACGUUCCAAUUGUUUUCUUUUAUUUCCUGCUUACGAAUUGUUGCCUUGUAUGGGCAUGUAAUAGAUGAAAAUAAAGAGGCAAGAGAAUUAUAAUUUUUGUAGAAUAUGAAUAUAAUAGGGGAUUUUUGCUGAACUUAAGGAAUGAAAUCAAAA